rnacentral:piRNA from 1 species
CAGGUAAUGCUGGGUUCAAGGUUUGGCUGU